CGGGGGCGAGCCGCGCCGCGGCGCGCGUGCGUCCUUCGCCUACAACGCGGCUGCCGUUGCGCGCAGCCACAGUCUCACGCGGCAGAGGGGAAAGGAACGGCAGCCGAGGAGGGGGGGAGGGGCGGCUGACGGCGCCGCGCAUGCGCAUGCGCCCGCGCUUUGUGGGCGGUGCGCGUGACGGUGCGGCGCGAGGAGCAAUUUCUAAUCCUUAAAGCGGCCGUGGGGGCAGGAGGAGAAAGCGGCGCGGGGUUGAGGGCACCACCGCAUUUGCGAAUCACUCGAGGCUUGUUUGACGGGUUUGGAUGGGAGACGUGAUGGGAGAAGCGGUAUGUGGCUGCCAGCAUCAAAAUUAACGUGCUCCGCUUCAGCCGCAGAGGCAAAGUAGCAUGACACGGUCGUUUGUAUGUGUUCCUGGUCGUCGUCUUCCCCACGCUGCUACUUCAUUUUCUUGUUUGGUUUUUAUUAUUUAGGAUAUCAUCAGAAGACCUCGAUGAAAUUUUAAGUAGUUUGGUAGAGCUUAUGUUAUAAGACUAGAUAAAAUCUCUUUGUUUUGCACUUCAUUUAGUUCGCUGAAAUCACGUAGUCAUUAUUCAUGUGCCUUGCCGUGCAGUGGUCUCUGUUGUAGGAGUAUAUAUGUCUACAUACUGCUUGUUGCAGGAGUAUAUAAAUCUAGAUAUUGCUUGAAGUUAAUACAAAAUGCAAAUGUUAUGUCAUAUAUACUGUACAGUAUUUGAAAAAACUUGAAAAACUAAGUUCAUCAUGAUGAGUACUGCUUCCAAAACUAAAAAGGAGCAUGACCACAUUAUCUUCUUGACAGGUGUGCAGUUUUAUUGGGUAUUGUCAAGCACUGUUAUUCUACUUUUUCUAAAAGAUAUGCACUGACAAAAAUUUAGAGAAAGUGUAUUUCUCGUGUUAGUAAAUCUACCUUGGAUUAUUGUCGUCUUUCUAUUGCAUGUUGGAUUUUUCUCUUGUAAACAUUUAAAACUCUUUGUGUGAACAACAGAAUUUUUUUGGCUUAUAUUAAGAAAAAUUUAUUUGCUUAUAUAAGUCAUAUUUAUUGGUUCUGUCAUUUAAAACAUACAACGCAUAUAAUCUCAUUAAAAGCACUUACUAGUUUUAUUACCAAGGAAACAGUAACAAUGUUAUGAGCUGUUUUUUUCCUUCAAUUCGGAUUCUUAGUCCAUCAACAGUGUGCCCAAAACACACUGCAGUAUGGCUAUGGAUGAUGAAACAAUACCCUUUCUAUUUAGUAACAAGGAUACUGUUGCUUUUUUUCCCUCUUGCUUUAAAAAUGUGCCUAGCUAAAACAUACCAUAUCUACCUAACAAAAUUGUCAUCCUUGUAUGUUUAUUGUAGAUCAAUGUGAAAGAAGAUAUGUUCGUUUGUAGCCGUUUAUUUGCUUGUUUUUAACCCAGUGAGUGAAAGCUCUUUGUAACCAUAAGAAAACUUGUUAUUAAAUCCUUCAGUUUGAUUAAAGAUAUCACUUAGCCAGCAGUCUUUCAUCUUAAAAUGAGAUGAACUUAAAUAAUAUUAGAAUAGUCCUUUUGGACUGCCGAUUCUCAUGGUAAAAAUAGCAAAGGGAGACUUUUCCAGCAGACUUGGUGCAGCUGUUCCCAUACCACUUCGUUAUUGCUCCCUGCACAUAAAGUGCUUCCAGUGUAUGAAUUUGAGCAGACAAAACAAGCACAUAAUUUAAGGUAAGAAAUGCUAGCACAAGUGAUUGUACAGUAACUGCCAAUUGCCUUACAUACCAAUAGAAGCAAAACAGCUCAUCCCUAAGCUAUUUUACAUUUAUUUAGUGGGGAAUAAGAUGGUGCAUGCCACCAGUUACUGAGGAAAAGCUACUGCAUUGUAAAAUUCAAGCCCUAGCUUACUCUGUUAAUCUGGCUUGUUUUUUCAGUCUAAACAGUGCAAAAAUUGAGUCAAAUUUAUGUGCUGAAACUGCCAGUGUAAUUAGGCAUAACUGACUUAGGAAAAAUUCUCAUCCUUCAUUUUUCCACAAAUAUUUUAAGACUGAAUUUAAGUCGUUGGAAAAAUACCUUCAGAGAAGCUAACUGUUGUGACAAGUGUUGCAGAUAACUCACCGUCAGUUUUAAAUAAGCAAGUCUGUGUGACAUCUUACUUUAUCAUGUAUACAAUAAAAACAGAAAGUGUUAUCUAAAAGACUGUUUAAGCAUACUUUCUCAUGUUCCUCUCUGCCUUUUCAUUCCUGUACUUCCAUGCCCCAGAAGGGGGAUUUUAAGAGUGCAUGGAAGAUGGAAGUUGAAGUAGUUCUGGUUAAAGGGUUAUGAGAAGGCUCCCACGAAGACUGGUGUGCCUGCAGCCUGAUCUGCAGAGGAGCUAGAAAUACCGUUGCACUGUACUGGAUUUUGUGCUUUCCCAUAAGAGGAAAAAUAUGUGGGCUUUUUUUGUUUUUCUAAUCAGUCCUGUUUAUGGUUCUGUAGAUAACAACCCAAAACCUUAAAUUGAGUGUGAACACAAGCAGAAAUCCAGGUAUUUAACUCCUGUGCUUUCAUCUGCAUAGCCCUUCUUGUAUCAAGCAAGUUGCAGUAUUCUCCAGCAGUUUCUCUUUUAAGGUGUGGAAGUUUUAUUGCGUUAAUCUAAUCUCAAAAUAAGGAAAACUAUGAUAAUGCCAGCAGCCGCCUCUGCGUAUUACAGUAAAGGCCUUGCACUGAUCAUAAAAAGCAAACUCAAUUACUGCUGUAACAUUCAUAUCUGAUAGCAGCAUGGGAAAUAGGAGAGCUGAAGGCUGAUAACUACUGGGAAGCAUACUCUUUCAGUUAGUGUUGGCUAUUGCUUCCACUGUUUCUGUUGGUUGGGUCUUCCAGCCUACGAGCCUGUUCUUCUAUAAUCUCUUCUAAAUGCUAACGGGGGCACUAGACCAAGUCAUAGGCAAUUACAGCUGGACAUCAUCAGCUUUCUGCAAAUAAUGUCUAUAACAAUAAGGUAACAGUACUACCCUUCUUUAGGAAAAGGAACAAUUCUUCAAUUACCCAUUACAGUCACUUAAGGAAAAAGGCCACUUUAGGUCCGUUUGUCAUUCGGUAUCAACCCAUUCAUGCUAUAUAAGACACUGCACCUGGGGUGCAGCAGUCAGAUAUGGCCACUACCAGAUGGACAUCCAGUCUUCAUUGAUGUCUGGAAGGUGAUUAACACAUGAACGGAGUAAGAUCUAGAGCCAGACUAAAAAGCUCAAGAGCAUCAACUGUAUCGAGAUUGUGAUGUGUCUGACUGCCUCUUAAAACUGUCAUUUGAAAACCUCUUUCCUUUGCCUAUGUUGUUAAGCUGUCAGAUAACUUCUCAAACAAAAGCCAUUGUAGUGCAUUGUUCAAAUAAGCGAAGGGCCUUGUACUCAUAGCCAAAAAAGGGGAAGAGUUUAAAAAACAAAACAAAACAAAAAACCACCAAAAAGCCUCUGUUGUAGUCCUCAAGUUCAUUAAAUAUUAAUGUUAAAGCUUACCUGUCUACUCUGCAUGCCAGGUGUAUCCUGGCUAUAGAAAUGAGCACUUAAUUCCAGUUUACCUUUACACAGCAGAGUUGAAAAGAUGUUUAAAUCCGAAGAUAAGCUUGAUCCAUUAACAUAGCCCGAUCGCAACAGAUAGACCUAAGUUCCACUGCUGCAUUUAAUCCUGGAAAAGAUAAUGGCCUAAGUUCUGCUCACCAGCAAAGUGGUCACUGAAGAUGUGGAAGAUCUGGGAUUUAAGCAUACUUUAGUCUGGAAGGAUUCAGAUCUGUAUCUUGUAUACCUAAGGCGCGCUAACCUGUACAACAGCUGGGAAGAAAAGGGUAAUAGCCCUCAAAAUCUCUCCUGUUGGAACUGAGCCAUUCCACAGGUUGGAGAAAAGGUGCCAGAAGAAGACAGAUUGUCAUGAUUAGCCUACUUGUGCAAGAGUAGAAAGACCUGUAUUCUACUCUGUCUAUCAAGUUAUUAGGUUGAGGAGAAAAGAAAAUGCUAAAUCAAAGAAACUAUUCUCUACCCUUUACGUAAAUUUUGUGCCUGCUCAUUUUCUCAGGAAGGUACCUUGUGAAAGGAAGGUACCUUGGGUUACUAUGGUUUGUGCAGAUAGGAUGGAGAUCUGUUUCAUAAAAUAUUAAACAUUUUGUUUAACUCUUAGUAGUGAGUGAAGCCUCUGUUAGGCAUCACCUUACCUAAGUGCCAGAUAGUUGUGGUUAUACAUGGUUAUAUAUGUAAAUAAAAUACAUAGUAGAAGGUCUUAAAACAGUGUUCAUGAUUGCCAUGGAGUAAUCACCUAGUAAUCUCUCUUCAGGUAUGUUAUUUCCAUAAAUAUGUAACAUCUGUAAAUGCUGUUCCUUUAUACAGGAAACUCUGGCGUUUCCUGUAUAAAAGAUAGCAUUGUAGUGGGGGAAAAAACUCUGUAUCUAGGGAGGGUGGUAGUUCUGCUAGGCUCCUGAGGAAUAUCUGUGCACCAAAACCAAAGUUUAGGUUGGUUUGAUUUUAAUUUCACACUCUGUAGUAGGAGGCAAAAAUUAAGUCUAAUAUAUGCCUGUUUUUCCUUAAGCUACUGAGAAAGGCAGAAUAUAGUGAGAAAGAGGGAAAGAAAAGCAAUCUCGGAAAGGAUGGAAAAGGAAAAAUUACCAGCAAUUAUGCAGAGAAAACUGAAUUGGGAUAUUAUAUUGUAAACACAAAAUUUACCUACUCUAUCAUCUCUUUCAUAACAGCAAUUAAAUUUAGGAGCCAGAGGAGAACAACAAAGUUAUUCACAGAACAAAUUGAACAGUUUAAAUCACAGGCAUUUUGAAGGUAUGUCUUAUCCCUAAGCUCAUAGAUGCCUUCACAUCUUGUAAUUUAUACAUUCAUAAUAUAAUAUUGCUUUAUUUUUGUGUAUUAUACUAUCGGAUAAUAAGUAAUCAAUAUUCUUCCUAGUUCACUAAAAUAAGCCAGAUAAUCUCUUGAAAUAUAAACUAUGCACAUGUUCCCAACAUUUCCAAUCCCAUGUACAGUCCUAUCUUCAGUCGGUAUGCUGGGCAUUCUGCUUUCCAUCAUGUACAUCCAUGUACAGUUACAUAAUUGCUACUGUGGCUAAACAGCUACUGGCAUGCACAGGGAAGCAGGCUUUCAAAUUGCUCUGGGCCCAUCCCUUUUGCAGAACUCAUGUAGGGAAACACUUUGUAAGCUAGCCUGUGCUACGGAUUGCAGAAACGGCAGCAGCAGUGAGCGUGUACUACCAUAUGUGCUGCCUAUCUCUGUGGAGGCACUGAACUGACCAUUACUAAAUUUAAUAGUGAACUGUCUGUCAUUAGAGUCCAGUUAACACACAUUCUAUUUUAAAAGACUGAAAUAUUACAAUAUAUGGAAAUGAAGAAUUAAUAUAUCAUAACUGUUAGUUAUUUCAGACAUACUUGUUUGUCUUUCAUCAUCUGUCUGAUUUACACUAGCUAGCUAAUCUUAAACCUGUCCAGGAGAACAUUCUGCAUUUUAAUUAAGUGAUGUAGUAAUCUCAACUACAGUAGUACCAUCAGCAGCUUUCUCACUUGCUAUAAAUAACUAAAAAUACAAUGUUGAAAGGCAUAUCUCUUUAUAAGAUAUUAUGCAAUCAAAAGUAUUUUUAUAUUCAUUAUAGGAUUAAAAUAAAAAAACAGACAAUGUUCAUGUCGGGGAGAUUUGCAGAUUUAGUUUGGUGACCACAGAGGCAAAGAAUUAACAACUACAGAAACUGGAAAGUCUUUUUCUUUUUCUUUUUUUUUCAGGUGCACCAGGUUGGUAUAAAAUGCAAUACUAUAUUGGUUAUUGUUGAAUACACAUGAAAGGGUUUCAGCCUUAACUUUGUAAAUAGAUUUAAAUUAAUCAUUCAUCUGAAUUACUACUAAAAGGAAAUAGAGCCUAAAAUGUAAUUGAUGCAUUAAUUUACUUUUUCCUUUUAACCUCUCAGAAAUGUGAGUGUGUAUGAAUUUUGACUUGCACUGAGGGAUUGAUGGUGAUGCGUUGCUUAAAGCAGCAGUCCUUACCCAAGGAGCUUAUAUUUAACUGCACAGAAAAAUUUUCUACGUGAAUUAUAAGAAAACUUUGAAUUUUUAAACAUUUUGGUAAUGAGCAGACUUCAUUUUUAUUUGCUAAGCCUUCUAAUAAGAUAAGAUUUGUCCAUCUGAAACAUCCAGAAUGUUUUUUUCAAGUCUUAUAUUUAUCUAGAAAUAUUUUUUGACUCAGAAAAUCUAUUAUAAAUUCCAAACCUCUAUUAAAUGCAUAUAAUUUAUAGUAUAUUUAAUGGUGGCUGAAUAGGAGAAAAGAAGUAUCAGGACUUAAAGCUGUGAGGAAAGAAAGGGACCAAGCAGUGCAAGUCUUAAAAGCUUUUGGAGAUGGGACAGACUUGCUCAACAGUCUUUCUCCGAAGCAAAGGACAGAGUCAGUGCUGCCCUGAUCAUUGAUUUCCCACACAAAGACCAUUAUGCUUGAUGCUACAGUACGUUCAGAAGCCUGCUCUCUGCUUUAUUUGUUCAUGGGCAUUUGUGCACUAACACUAAAAGGAAACAGCAGAAAUUGUCCAGUCUCAUAAUAUUUUUAUGGUUUUUUUUUGCUUCAGGAAGCCUAAAUUUUGUUUUAUUCUCAGAUGACUGAUUCCUUCACAUUUUUUCCUCCUACCACAAACUUUCAUUUGAGUGUGGGGGUUCUUUCCUGGGAUGUAUUAGCCACGUACGUUGUAGUUAUGAUAUGCCCUAGAGUCCUUUUCACCAUUUUCUGCUCUUCAGAGUCUAUGAAACAUUUUGUACUAAAGUACUUUAAGAUGCUUGGAUGAAAGCCACUAUAUAAGUGCAAGGAAUUAUUACUUAAGCACUGGGAUAGAUCCAGGAUCUCAUCAUAGAAACAGGAGGCAUUCCAAAGCUUGUGCAUGGCUGCUGGCAUUUAUAGACUAGUGCAUCCUAGGUCCCUGUUUGACUGUCACUGGAGCUCAAAGGACAAGUCAUAACAAUCAGUAAAAUGAGGGAUCUCAGACUCUGAGCCAAAAGGUGAAAGUUUCUGGGUUGUUAUUUAAUCUGGCUGGCUCAUUUUGAGCUACACAAACUUAAUUCAAGAUCAUAUGGUACUAUUUAGAUAAUACUGUGUUUGAUUGUUAUUUUAAAAGGAGUUCACUGUUUCAUUACAGUAAUUCUCUUUGUUAGAAUUAUAACAACACCGUAAAGGUUGGGAUUCUUUUGCCUAAUGAUAUCCCACUUGGUGUCCACCUAAAUCUCCAGAAGGUCAUUCUUCUCUCAAAGUUCCUGUAUCACAUUUGCCACUUUUGUGCAGAUGUCUCUUACACCUUAGGACAUCUGAAAUGACACUACAAGUUGUAUAGACAUUUGAAACUCACUUUGCAGAAACACAGUCUACACAUGUGCUGCUUUUCUCUCAGUGUGAACAUCAGCCUGUAUUCAGGAUUUUGACAAGAAUUAAAUCACGCUAUUGAAUAUAAUGCUGUCAUUCCCUAGUUUUGGCUUUCAGGAAUGUAUUACUAUUUUACAUUCAGAAAUUCAUUGUGUUGGAGAGACUGCAGAGUGGAAGGGAAGAGGAGUGGACUGAAAAGUUCGUUAAUGGUUUAGGGGCAAAAGAGAUGGUAUGCAAUAUUGACUAAUGGCCUAGAUUUAGGCAUGGUAUUGUCUGACAUAGAAGUCACUGCAGCUAAAUUUGAAGGUUUUGGAAAUGAUACUUUACCAUGCUGACCAUCUCUCAGUUCUCAUAACUUUUUAUUGUUCUUUUUAGGUUGAAGUGUUUCAUGUUUGAGCUGUUUGUAACUGAAAUACAAGGAGAAAUAUACUUCCUGUAUAUUCAAAUGACUUUUGUACAGUUCAUGAGUCUAGAUUUUUGUGUUCACUUACAACAGGAGACGUUUCCAUGUACACAUAUUUCAACUUUUCUUAUAACUUAUGGAUAAGUUUUAAGGUUACUUUAUCUAGUAGGUAGUUCCAUCUCAGAAUUUAUUACAUCAUUCCUAAAUAAAAGAUGACUACCAAAAUAUUAAUACUAUCUCUUUUGUCAUCAUGUUUGUUAAAAAUACUGUAUCUGAAAGUUUUAUGGGCAGUUUUCUUUACCUUUCAGGUGUUCACAUAAUCUGUCAAACUAGAAAAAUAAAGAUUAUUGCAAUUCUAAUACUGAUUACAGUUUUUGUUUUGUAAAAACAAGUGAGAUGUUUUGUAGCGCCCACCUCUGCAUCCUGAUACAAUUGAAGAACUGUUGUCCUGUCAGCUUAAGGGGCUGAGAGCUGCAAAAAUUGGUUUCCCAGAUAGUAUACUUCACUAUCCAGUUUGCAUAACAGUGCUGUUUUAUUAUGUAUUAACAUGUUAAUAUUUAGCCUUGUAUGGCAAUAUGCUCAAAAAACAACAGGUCAUAGCAGGAUCUGUAACCGUACUUGGGGCAAGGCAAGAAAAAAGUUCUCUUGAAUUUUUAUAAUUGUGUUUUGAUUAGAAAAGGGCAACAUGAAACCAGUUAUUAACAAGUCCAAAUUAGGCAGCCUUCCCUCUACCCACCCCUGAAAGGUCUGGAAAGCCCCUGUCAUUUGGGAAGCUUGCAAACCACUUCUCUGUUACAGGCAGGAAGGGAGGCACUGCUGGGCUUAAGGCAUUUCCUCAUCUCCAGAAAUUUUCUGCCUGCUUUCAAGAAGUCAUGAUUUAUCCAAUCGGCCAAUUUUCAUGCCCUUUGCAAGUCAACCUAAACUUACAAAUUUCUACCUUAGUUUUCCUUCCAGGUAGUCUAUUUAUAGCUCUCUCUCUCUCAUUUUCAUUAAUAGAGACGUAAUUGAUCUUUUGUCCCAUUAUGAAGUUUGUACACACCUGUCUUGCAGGUUGGUAGUGAAAUCAAUUAUCCCUCUGGCUACAGAGGCAUCUUGGUACUUCAUUAGAAGUUUGUCAGAGUAGGUGGAGUUCUUUAUGGCAGACUGACAACAGUUAAAGUGAUUAGUAAAGGAGUCAUGGCAAUGUAUGCUGAGGCUUGUACCUAAGAUAUUACAUUGACAUGUUCACUGUUUUGUUCCAGUAAUGGAGUUUUGGGGAGGUCUCUGUUAACUACCUAAAAAACAAAACAAACAAACAAAGAGAGCUUAGUUUAAUGAGGAGACUGAAUUACAGACAUUUGAGAAAAAACAUAGUUGAACUCCUCUGUUAUCACACGCACAAAAUAGUCGAUUAGCCAUGUAGUAAGAUAACAUUACAAAUAGAUUAUGUGACUUAAAUGACCAUUUGACAUAUAGUAUUGAUCUAAUUGUCCUGUUUUAUCUUCAUACUAUAGAUGAGGAGAUUGUCUGAUGAAAGACAGCUACUUAUGUUAUUUCCUUCUGACUUUGUUCUCACAACAGUCAAAAAAACCUGCUGUCAUUUGGCUGUUUCUGAUCAAGAAUUAUGUCAUGUGUGAAAUCGUUACUUGUGUCUUUUUAGUGAUCCUUGUAUGCUUUGGCCGAAAAGGACAUCUAAGCACAGCAGUCAUAGGUCCAAAAUCAUUGUAUCUGAUGUGAUGUAAUCCUUCAAAAUUAAUUUGGUCUCAGUUCAUGAAAUAAAAAUUAAAUAAUUCAAUGUAUUACAUAUGCCCUCAGUUCUUAACACAAAUACUAAAUUCUUUUGCAGAAUUCCAUUUAUGGUAUAGUUAUGAAAAUAUAUUAAAUACAGAAUUUUAUUGAAUUUCUAUUUUAAGGCGAUAAUUUUUGACUUUUUGACAGUUUGGCUUACAUUAGAAAUAGUGGGGGGUUGUAUAUAAAUAAAUAUACACAAAAUUAAAUAGUCAAGUCCAAAUUGUACAGUUUCAUAGCUGUAUAGCAGUUUAUUGUAAUAAACUUUAAGUUACAUUGUGAUCUUCCUAGGUAUUUUCUCUCAUUAAUUAUCAAAUUACCUAAAAUUGCUUUUCAUACAACCUACUUGUCCUUUUACAUAAAUUUCUAAGUUCAGAUGUCAAUGCAUGGACAACAAAUAGAGGAGCCUUUAGGGAAACCAGCUUUUCCCAAAACAUGAAUUACUUUGCUUCUCUCUGAGAAAAAUUUUCCAAUAGAGAGAGGGAAAAAAAAAAAAAGAAA